AUUGAACGCUGGCGGAAUGCUUUACACAUGCAAGUCGAACGGCAGCACGGACUUCGGUCUGGUGGCGAGUGGCGAACGGGUGAGUAAUGUAUCGGAACGUGCCCAGUCGUGGGGGAUAACGUAGUGAAAAUUACGCUAUUACCGCAUACGACCUCUGAAUGAAAGCGGGGGAUCGCAAGACCUCGCGCGAUUGGAGGGGCGAAUAUCAGAUUAGGUAGUUGGUGGGGUAAAGGCCCCCCAAGCCAACGAUCUGUAGGUGGUCUGAGAGGACGACCAGCCACACUGGAACUGAGACACGGUCCAGACUCCUACGGGAGGCAGCAGUGGGGAAUUUUGGACAAUGGGCGAAAGCCUGAUCCAGCCAUUCCGCGUGCAGGAUGGAGGCCCUCGGGUUGUAAACUGCUUUUGUACAGAACGAAAAGGUUUCUACUAAUACUAGGAGCUCAUGACGGUACUGUAAGAAUAAGCACCGGCUAACUACGUGCCAGCCGCCGCCGUAA
rnacentral:rRNA from 1 species